rnacentral:lncRNA from 1 species
UGCUUUUGUACAGCUUUUGUGACAUUUGAAUUUUGAAACAGGGUUUCAACAUCGAUUUGAGGAUUUGGCUCCAUCUUCUCUCUUUCUCAUGUAUAUUGAACGACUUAAUCUCCUCUCUUUCUCAGAACACCACCGACUUGAAGAUUACAUCUGGGAGAUAUGACAUCGAAUAAGUUCGUUCUUCCGAUUCAACAACCAUCAGUUUAUAGUGAAUCAAGUCUGCAAAGAUUGGUGGCUACGGAGAAGAGUUCCGGGCUGUAGAUGGUGAUUGAGGUAGGUUCCGACAAACAAACUGAGGAUUUAAUAAGGUGUGGCCGAUAUUUGAUUCUUUUCAAUCUUGUGAUUUUCGGAAGGUAAAUUGAAGCCACCAACGGGCUUGUAGCCUAGCAGUGUGAUGGUAUCAUGGUGCGCAGAUAAGUUGUUCCUCCCCUGCUUCAAUGGCUGAUGUAUCUACUUUUCAUGCAACUUCAUUUCUUCCUGUAAAAAAGGCUGAGGCUAUAACAGAUCCAGAGAGAAGAGGGUUUCUAAAAAUGUAGAGAUAGGCGUAGAGAGGCCAUGUGGUGAAAUUUGGCUCAUGAAAUGACAACAGAGUAUAGUGUUUAUGAAGCACCAGAUAUUGUUUAUUUUUGGUCUCACCUUUUCGGGAAAUGGAUGUUGCCAAAAUAAUAUCCGAACCCCAGUUACAGCUAUUAAUUUGUAUUGUGGUUUUUUAUUUAUUUUACUGUUUUUAUUCAUUUAUU